UUCGCCGGUAGAGGAAACCUCGCCGUCGCCGAUAUCACGGCUCUCACAGGUGAUGACCUCAAUUAGUAUAAUACGUGCAUACAGGCCAUUUAGUCCCAUUCCAAGUUUAGUGGGAUUCAUGUUCGUUGCUGUUCUACCAUCCCAGCAUGAGUCCUAAACGUGGCAUGAGUGAUGUUGGCGUGGAACUAACUUAGGACAUUCAUUGAGGUUGUUCUUCUAGCUGAUGGGAAACUUCUUUAAAGGAUUUACUGUGGUGUAUUGCCGUCUAGCUGCUUCAGCAUUUUGUCCUCAGGUGGUUCAUUCUCACGCUUGGCCUGUCUAUAUCCUCUUGCUAUCGUCUGUUAAUCGUGAUGUGAGUAUUGCCUAAGAUUGAAAUGUUUGGUGUGGUGUGAAAGUUUAACAUUAAGAGCAUUGGGUUUUGAUUUUCAUUGAUUACUUGUCAUUAGGCUUAAGUCGGGGGUGGGUAUUUGUUUCAUGGUGAGUUGCCUAUCUUAGAAUGAUUAAGGUUGUUGCGAUGAAAAAAUCUUUAACAAAUUCUGGAUGAAGGAAAUAUUGUCUGAAAAUCUGAUUCUUACUAUUUGAUAAAAUGCAUUUCCAUUGAAGUAAGUUUAAGUAUUUUGCUUUCCCAGUUGGUGUGGAAAUGGCUUACCUUUGUUCACCAGAUUUCGUCAAAGAUUUUUUCUCGCGGUGUGAUAAAUUUUCAUUGUGGGACGUAAAUAAACGAAUUUCCAAGUUGAUAAAUUCUUUUAUCUACUUCUCAGUGAAUUGAAAAUGAAGGCCUUUUGAGUUGCAUUCCAAAUGCUCUGAUACGAACAUUAUUUAUAAAGUUGGCAUAGUUAUGAAAAACUGAAGUCAUUAACUCAUUUCUGUGUGCAUAAAUAUGGUAUAACAUUUGGCAAAAGGGGAAUUUCAGAUAUUGAAUGGAAGUAUUCAGAAUGGGCAAAAUAUUAGUAAUUCAAACUGAAAUUUUUGUUAAAGCAUGAUGCAAGUAUUUUUUUAUCAGCUUGCAUUUUAAAUACUGUUUAUUUUCAGAAUACCCAGCCUACCUAAAAAAAUUGAGAAUGGUUUCAAUGUCUCGCAGGGAAGAUAGAAACGUAGAACCUGAUUCCGUCAGUCAGGCAUUUUAUCAUUUCUUUCACUGUCUACUACAUUUCUUAUUACGCAGGUUUAGGUAGUAGCCCGUCAUGCAAGAAUGAGUAAUGCGCAAGUGUAGUUAUCGUUAUUUCAACUGUUGGACGAAGUGUCAUUGACUCUAAAGACGGCUGGAAACUAGUAAUGGAAAAUUUGCUAUACCCACUACUCUGCUGUCUGCUGUAUUGCUGCUGGUGUUGGACAACCGGUUUUUUACUGUGAGAAACGUCGGUUUCUUUUCCGAUGAACCGAAAGUUGUUGAAUGUUCAAAUUCAGCGUGGCAGUCAUUCGACCGAUGAUGACGUCUUUAAGUGUAGUCAUUUUUAUUGCGCAUUUCGUAAUUCGUGCACGCGAGUACCGUGUUUACUGUCCAAGAAGGACUCGUGGCUUGAUCCCAUACAGAAAAACGAAGAGCCUUUCUCGCCGAGUUGGCGUGUGCCAGUCAAAGUAGUGGUCGGUCGGAAAAAACCGGUUAACGAUGGUUGUUUUUUUUUCUUGUUGUUCAUGACAAGAUCAUUAAGUAGACUGGAACAAAAAGCAAAAAUUAAAUCCUUAACAUAGUUUUGCUUGCCUGAGAUCAUCCGAUCAUCGUAAAGAUUUGCUGCCAGUAUAGCCAGCCCCCUUCUUCACAAGAACCUGCGAGAUCCCCUCUUGCCCUUCUUAUUUUCAACGGUAAUUCGUGUUUUUAAUCUCUACAUUUUUCUUUUAGGUAGAUCGAUCCUAAUGUCUUAGUCCUCUGAUUUGGCUACUCCAGAUUUAUCUCGCACUUGUCCCUGGGUCUCUAUUUCUCAAAAUUGUUAUC